rnacentral:lncRNA from 1 species
CUCCAACAAUGUAUAGAAACUUAUGCUCACAAGCAUUAAGAAUACAAAAAUACAUAGAAGUGCUCCAUUGUGUGUAUAGAAACUUAUGCACACAAGCAUAAGAACACCAAAUUCAACAAACAAAAUACAAAAAUCCUUGGCUGCGUCGCGCUGCUCCUUUGCUAUCUUCCAUCCAACCAACCACCACCGUUGAUUCGCACUAGCACCGCCGCUGUGAACUACACGCCACCAACCGCCACCGCUGCCUCAUACCAGCACCGCGGCCGUGGACUGCAUCAUGCAGUGGACUUGCCACCUGAAUGGUUCUGAAUGUGUAAAAUCUUAAUUCAUCAAGCAUAGAACCCACAAAGCAUAAAGAUUCAAAGUCAAUUGCAUAAAAACUUAUUCAUUACACAUAAUGUCAAAGAAAUGCAUAAAAAAUCAAAAUCAAAGCAUAGAAAUCCUGCUUACUUGCGUUGAUAGCUUUUUCAUUUCAUUACAUAGAAACCUAUUCAUCCAAGGCUGCAACCAAAAAUUAGAUAAACCCCAUACAACUAAGUAUAGAAGAAUUGUGCGCAGAUAAUUAUUCUAAUAGUGCAUAGAAAAGUGCUCCACAAUGCAUCUGAACCAAAAAUCCAAGGCUGUGUAGGUACAUAGAGAUAAUUAUUCAAACAAUAUAUGUCGAAUUGUUCUAACAGUGCAUAAAAGAGUGCUCCACAAUGUAUACAGACUUCUUCAAAAUUUAGAAUUUGAAAUUAAUUAGGGUGGAAACAAAUACAACUAAGCAUAAUCACAGUUUCACCAUGCAUCUAAAUCUAUACAUGCAAAUAUAAAAACUAUUACUUUCCUUUGGAUCAGCAUGCAAAAAAAUCUUAGCACCCAACCAACAACAAAAUGUAUAAAAUAUGCUCCAAACAAUAUAUAAAAAUAGUAGUAAGGUUUCUAUGCAUCUAACAAGACUAGAUCUGAACAUUUUAAAUACAUCUGAAAAGUUCAUAGAGUCAAGACUAAGCAUAGAAGAAAUUAGAAUUCAAUUUCUAUGCACCCAAAAUUACAAGCAAUCAAAUUUCAUAGAGUCAAGACUAGAUCUGAACAUUUUAAAUACAUCU